UAAGGAGUUAUUAUUUAUUGUCACAAAAGCAACUAAACAAGUUUCAUGUGAGAGCAUUAUUUGUCUUAAAAUAAGGGUGCUAGGAAUCACUCCACUCUGAAGGAUUCCCUUGUCUUCAUGGCCCAGUUUCUCUGACACCGUGUUUAUUCUUAUGAUGACCAUGGUGGACAUGAAAAUCCAUGGCUCAUAUCUCCUGCUCAGGGAACAUAAUCAACCAGGUGUCCCAGCUGCUGUUCUUCUGGGUCCGCCACUGUGUUCAUGUUAAGGCCACAUUUCCCACAGGCUACUCAAGCAGCAACUGAGCAUAACAGGACAACUAAUGCAGGUCCAUUUCUGGAACACAUGGAACUCCACAACCAGCAGGGGUCAGACCUUCAUGACAGGCUGAAGAGUUCCUUCUCCUCUUCUCCCUUUUACUUUACAAACAUUUCUCCAAUAAAUUUCUUACACAUCUAAUU
rnacentral:lncRNA from 1 species